rnacentral:rRNA from 1 species
GACGAACGCUGGCGGCGUGCUUAACACAUGCAAGUCGAACGGAAAGGCCCUGCUUUUGUGGGGUGCUCGAGUGGCGAACGGGUGAGUAACACGUGAGUAACCUGCCCUUGACUUUGGGAUAACUUCAGGAAACUGGGGCUAAUACCGGAUAGGAGCUCCUGCUGCAUGGUGGGGGUUGGAAAGUUUCGGCGGUUGGGGGUGGACUCGCGGCUUAUCAGCUUGUUGGUGGGGUAGUGGCUUACCAAGGCUUUGACGGGUAGCCGGCCUGAGAGGGUGACCGGCCAAAAUGGGAAUGAGAUACGGCCCAGAAUCCUAAGGGAGGCAGCAGUGGGGAAUAAUGCACAAUGGGCGGAAGCCUGAUGCAGCAAAGCCGCGUGCGGGAUGAAGGCCUUCGGGUUGUAAACCGCUUUCGCCUGUGACGAAGCGUGAGUGACGGUAAUGGGUAAAGAAGCAACGGCUAACUACGUG